rnacentral:tRNA from 1 species
GCUAGGGUGGCAGAGCCUGGUAAUUGCAAAAGAUCUAAGCCCUUUUAACAGAGGUUCAAAUCCUCUCCCUAGCU